rnacentral:tRNA from 1 species
GGUUCGAUGGUGUAGUGGUUAUCACGUCUGCUUCACACGCAGAAGGUCGCGAGUUCGAACCUCGCUCGAACCU